UGAGCUCCUAGAUGUGUUAGAAUGAUUCCACCCAGGCAGAGGCAGCCACCAACUGCCCCGUCAACCGGCAUCUCUCUGGACUUCUACUUUGGCCACGAUGACAUGGCUCUGGAAGGUGAACUGGCCAAGCAUCUCUGGAAGAUGCAAAGCCAGCGUGGCAGCCUGCUCUUUUGCAGGACCUGCAGAUGAGAUGAAUGGGAUAAAACCCUGGACGCCGUGGGGGUAGCCCUGGCCCUGGAGAGGAGCCUGAACCUGGGUUCUGCUGACACAGACGUCACCUCUGGGACUUCCUAGAGAGGCCUUUCCUAGAUGGGGGAGUGAAACUCGUCAAGAGGGUGGAUGAUCACCUGACCUCUGCGGGCUGGCCACCUGGAGCCGGGCCAGG
rnacentral:lncRNA from 1 species